GGGGAAUAUUGCACAAUGGAGGAAACUCUGAUGCAGCGAUGCCGCGUGAGGGAAGAAGGUUUUAGGAUUGUAAACCUCUGUCUUCGGGGACGAAAAAAAGACGGUACCUGAGGAGGAAGCUCCGGCUAACUACGUGCCAGCAGCCGCGGUAAUACGUAGGGAGCGAGCGUUGUCCGGAAUUACUGGGUGUAAAGGGAGCGUAGGCGGGAUCGCAAGUCAGAUGUGAAAACUAUGGGCUUAACCCAUAAACUGCAUUUGAAACUGUGGUUCUUGAGUGAAGUAGAGGUAAGCGGAAUUCCUAGUGUAGCGGUGAAAUGCGUAGAUAUUAGGAGGAACAUCAGUGGCGAAGGCGGCUUACUGGGCUUUAACUGACGCUGAGGCUCGAAAGCGUGGGGAGCAAACAGGAUUAGAUACCCUGGUAGUCCACGCCGUAAACGAUGAUUACUAGGUGUGGGGGACUGACCCCUUCCGUGCCGCAGCAAACGCAAUAAGUAAUCCACCUGGGGAGUACGACCGCAAGGUUGAAACUCAAAGGAAUUGACGGGGGCCCGCACAAGCAGUGGAGUAUGUGGAUUAAUUCGAAGCAACGCGAAGAACCUUACCAGGUCUUGACAUCGUAUGCAUAGCUCAGAGAUGAGUGAAAUCUCUUCGGAGACAUAUAGACAGGUGGUGCAUGGUUGUCGUCAGCUCGUGUCGUGAGAUGUUGGGUUAAGUCCCGCAACGAGCGCAACCCUUACUGUUAGUUGCUACGCAAGAGCACUCUAGCAGGACUGCCGUUGACAAAACGGAGGAAGGUGGGGAUGACGUCAAAUCAUCAUGCCCCUUAUGACCUGGGCCUCACACGUACUACAAUGGCUGUCAACAGAGGGAAGCAAAGCCGCGAGGUGGAGCGAACCCCUAAAAGCAGUCUUAGUUCGGAUUGUAGGCUGCAACCCGCCUACAUGAAGCUGGAAUCGCUAGUAAUCGCGAAUCAGAAUGUCGCGGUGAAUACGUUCCCG
rnacentral:rRNA from 1 species